ensembl:lncRNA
CAAUGGCUGCUGCCUGAUUUUUUUCUUUCAAGAUCUCUUCUGAUGAAGCUUUUUCUUUCUAGGAAAAAGCUCUGGUUUUGAAAGCUCUCCUGUGGGUAGUUUGCAUCCCUGGGCUCUGUGGACUGAGUGACCACGAUUUAAUGGCCCCAGUCCCACCCGAAAGUAGGGACUUUCUCUCGACACAGAUUCCUUGAUCUUUUCCCUAAGAGAUCAUUAAGUGUCAUGAAUUUCUUACGAAAGGAAGUCAGUAAUUAUUAAGAACCUUGUGAGACCACCAAAAAGAGAAAUAUCUUGAAGGAAAGAAUUCAUUCAUUCAAAAAACAAUUUAAUGCUCACCUACUAAAAGUGAAAAGUUGUAGCCUGAGAUGACAAAAUGAUUUAAAAAGAAAACUGACCUUAAGGAGCGGGAAACUAAGAUUUUCAUUGUUUGUCUAUCUUUCCUCUCUUGCAAUCUUCUCUCACCCAGCUUCAUUGUGUUGCAGUCUGAAUAUUUCUUCAGCUUUAAGGGAUUAUUUUGAGUUCUAAAAAAAGAUGCUCACUCUGAAUUUCAUCCCUUAAAAAAAAAAAUCACUAUUUAAGCUGUUUUCUUUUCCUAACUUCCCUCUCUCCUGUUGCCAGAUUGAGCGACAGAAAACAUGACACUCAGUUCAAUUUGAAUUUCAGAUAAAUGGCAAAUAAUUUUUUUAGUAUGAGCCUGUCCCAAAUGUUGCACAGGACAUAAUUACACACACACACACACACACACACACACACACCUGUUGUUUAUCUGAUUCUAAUUUAACAGCGUCUUAUAUUUUAUCUGGCACUCCUACCCCUACCCCAAACCGCCUCCAUAAAAUAUGUUAGCCUUCAAGUUCAGUGACAUUGACAGUUUUGAAGAGCUUCUUUAUUCUAUAAUCCCAGCCCUGGAGCAUAAAAAGGCUCCUUAGGAAACCACUCCUUGCCAGGCUGCACUCACUUGCUCGCCUCUGACACUGACCCUUUCAGCUGAGUGGGACACUGCAGCCAUCGCAGCCCCACAUAGUACUUGUGUUUGGAGAAUGUUUUCUGUUUGUUUUCUUCCCCUCUUUCGCUGAUAGGAAUUUCUCGUUUUGUUUUUCAGUAAAACAAAUCCUGGGGUCUAGUUUGCCUCUCACCUGUCCAGGUUCUAGGUUUGUCUUUUACUUCGGAAACGGAACUGCAUGAGGACAGUGUUGGUCAUGACUGAACACAGAUUCCCCAGGAUCUGUGGCAACAAUGCAGGAAAGGCUAAAGCCUAUAAAUAACUUAAACCUCAAUUUUAACCUUCUCCUCUAAAAAGCAAAGAAGGAAACCAUAGGUGGAACAGCUGAUUUGAAGGUCGUUUCCAUUGUUUCACCUGCGUACAAUCUGGUACGUUUAGAAUGGAUCGAGUGAAGCUUGAUAGUUUAGUUUAGCUCCCCUCAGACUGAGAGUUGGCGGUCUGAGCUCAGCAGAUACUGAUAGGGGUAGAGCAGGCACAGGUGGUUGCAGAAGUCCCAAUAAGGGACAAUGGAUAGAGAGGGAAACCUAGGGGACUUUGGAGGACCACUGUGAGUUAGUAACUGCUCCAGAGGGCCCACGCAACUGCGCAGGCUUGCUUGACUAGCGGAGGCUCAAGAUAGGCCUCAGGUCAUUGGGUGGGGGCUGGGGUGAGGCCUGCCUUCAGAUUCAGACCCGAGGGAGGGGUUCGAGGACUGCCCUUCUGCAGAUUCGAAUAUACACCUUACAGGAUACAAAGGAGGAGCUACGAAGAAAGAGGAAGAGGCAUUCUUUUCUGACCCCAUUCCCCUUGGAUGAUGAAACUGUAGCCCACCAGAUCCUGCGGGCAGAGCCUCCUUGCCUGCCUGCUUGCAUCCCUCAUAAGUGUCCUAUCUUAAUAAAUCUAUUUCUUGCCUCACUGUAUCUCUCGCUGAACUCCUUCUGUGAGGAGGCAUGAAGAACCAGAAUCUCAGUAAUCCAGGCAUCGGGUGAGUGAGUGUAAUUUAAAACUGGGUGUGGGAGUUCCCAUCAUGGUGCAGUGGUUAACAAAUCCAUGAGGCCAGGGAUCAAGCCCGCAAGCUCCUGGUUCCUAGUUGGAAUCAUUUCUGCUUUGCCACGACCUCUUUCAUCAUUGGGUUUCAUUGGGGAAUUAUGUGUUCCUGUCCUUUGCCCAUUUUUCUAUUUGGUUGUACACGAAUGUGCAUGUGUUAAAUUGGUUCUUCCGUGUUGUUUAUCAUGUUGGAUACAAUGCUAGCUCCCUGUUUGAUUUUUUUCAGGCAGAUGACAGACCAAAAGGAAUCUUUUUAGGUCUGGUUAUCUACCGAUCACUUAUUCUUUCCGCUUUGUCUAUAUAAUAUUAAUGUAGGAUAUAUGCCCCUGGACACUGACUUUUUUUAGGUGAAUGAGAAACAGAAAAUGCCAACUCUUUGUUCAUUUGUUUAGUCCAACCAUUAAGAAUAUCAACUCUGCUAAACUUUAAAAAAAUAUAUUUUUGUGGAGUGUUUUGGUGGCUCAGCAAAUUAAGGAUCUGGGGUUGGCACUGCCAUGGCUCAGGAUUGCUGCUGUGUUGCAGGUUCAUUCCCUGGCCCCUGGACUUUUACAUGCCUCAGACACAGCCAAAAAAAUAUAUAUAUUUUUUUUUCUUAGGUUUUUUUUUUGUUUGUUUUGUGUUGUGUUGUUUUUUUGUCUUUUGUCUUUUUAGGGCUACACCCACAGCAUAUGGAGGUUCCCAGGCUAGGAGUCUAAUUGGAGCUACAGCUACCAGCCUAUGCCAGAGCCACAGCAACGCCAGAGCCACAGCUGUGUCUGCAACCACAGCUCAGGGCAACGCUGGAUCCUUAACCCAGUGAGCAAGGGCAGGGAUCAAACCCACAACCUCACGGUUCCUAGUUGAAUUCUUUUCUGCUGCGCCAUGAUGGGACCUCUUUUUUUUUUGUUGUUGUUGUUGUUGUUUAGUUUUCAUUAGCCUUUUUCCUUUUGUUCAUUGUGGGCUUCGGUGGGUAGAAGUAUUUCAUUUUUUUUUGCAGUGAAAUCUUGCUUCUCAUUAGGAUGUAUUUCCACAUGAAAGUUUCUUGCAGUUUCUGCUUUAAAAACCAUAAUGAAUAUAAAUUUAAAAAUAUAUAUUAUGAAUUAUAUAAAUAUAUAAAUCUCAUAGCCCAAACAAGUAGAGUGUUUUCUGGUGUUUAGCAGUAUGACAGUGGACUAACAGACUCGAACUUGCUUGUCUGAUCUCUACCGUAUGCCACUUAUGCAUAGUUGAUGUUAUGUAGGAAAAUCCAGGAAGCUGCCUUUCUCUCUCUCCCUGCUUUCCUGCAAAAGGUCAGUCCUAAAGAACGUUAAGUAGGAGUUCCCAUCGUGGCUCAGUGCUUAACAAAUCCGACUAAGAACCAUGAUGAGGUUGAGGGUUCAAUCCCUGGCCUUGCUCAGUGGGUUAAGGAUCUGGAGUUGCCAUGAGCUGUGGUGUAGGUGGCAGAUGUGGCUUGGAUCCUGUGUUGCUGUGGCUCUGGUGUAGGCCAGCGGCUACAGCUCCAGUUCAACCCCUGGCCUGGGAACCUCCAUAUGCCCCGGGAGCAGCCCAAGAAAUGGAAAAAAAAAAAAAAAAAAAAAAA